GAAGGAUCCAGGCAAUCACCAGGGUGGGAAGGUUCUGCGUCCACUGGAUAUGGGACAAGAUCGCUCGGCAACCCUUGUGGAUUCUCCUUCUUCUAGAGGCGAAUUAUAGUUAUGGAUUUAUUGUCCCGGUGCAGCACUUCCAGCAGCAGCAGCAGCAACAGCAGCAGCUUUCUGACUCUCUUCGGUGACGGGUAUUCUUGGGUGGAUAAUACGGAUUACGUUGUUAUUGCUUAAGAAUACGCGUAGUCGAGGAGAGUACCGGCGGCGGGCAGGCAGGCAGGCAGCGCGACCGCCCCCAGCCCACCAGCUGGCUCCUCACCUCCUCUAGUUGCCAAGCUCAGGGAUGUUUUGUCUGUCUGUGUUCCUCAACCCUGGCCACUCAUGCAAGCACCCUUGCCUACCUGCACGCUGAGCUGCACUGCCUUGGGAAGAUACCAGCCUGUUACCCAGCUUAUCUGCAUGGUACAACUUCACCUUGUUCCCCCCUCACUCUGAGGGAUUAGCAUCCAAAGGAAGCCAAAUUAGUUUUGUAUCAAUUCACCCAGGAAAGCGAGUAGCCAAACCGACCAGAACAUUCCUGCUGGCAGAGCUGAGUGCAGAAGGAGGCUGGCAGGGUGUGCUCUUUGUGUGCUGCCCAGCUCCACCACGCUGCUCUCAGAGGUCUGU
rnacentral:lncRNA from 1 species